rnacentral:rRNA from 1 species
AGUGGCGGACGGGUGAGUAACACGUGGGAACGUGCCUUUAGGUUCGGAAUAGCUCCUGGAAACGGGUGGUAAUGCCGAAUGUGCCCUUCGGGGGAAAGAUUUAUCGCCUUUAGAGCGGCCCGCGUCUGAUUAGCUAGUUGGUGGGGUAAUGGCCCACCAAGGCUACGAUCAGUAGCUGGUCUGAGAGGAUGACCAGCCACAUUGGGACUGAGACACGGCCCAAACUCCUACGGGAGGCAGCAGUGGGGAAUCUUGCGCAAUGGGCGAAAGCCUGACGCAGCCAUGCCGCGUGUAUGAUGAAGGUCUUAGGAUUGUAAAAUACUUUCACCGGUGAAGAUAAUGACUGUAGCCGGAGAAGAAGCCCCGGCUAACUUCGUGCCAGCAGCCGCG